AUGAAAAAGCCUUCGAGCCCACUGUCAAAUGCUGCAAAUCCUGCGUUGACUGUCUUUCAACCUCACUGUGGCAAUUUAUUCCCACUCUUGUGCCCACCUCGACCCUUCAGACAGAGGGACGCCUUAGGCUCACCAAGGAAAAUGGCAAAUAGUGGAAAGCUGAAGUCCCCAAGGAUAAUGACAUGGUCUUCUCUUUCUGUUGUCUCCAUGGUGACAAGGACUCUGCAUCUUGUGUCUGAGAUUUGCUAUGGACUGGAUCUUAUAUCCAAGGUUUUCUCUGAUGACAAGGAUGAAACUUUCCUGCUUUAGGACGGAAAGAAGACUUAUGAACAAGAGCAAUUAGGAAACUCUGCAUACUUUCCCAUGCCACUCUGAGAGUCCGGUGGCCCACUUUGGGAAGAGGAGCAGUGGUGACAUCUCAGCAACAUCCUCUGCCAAACACACCCUGAGGUAAGCAUAGUCUCAGCCUGGAUUUUCCAACCUGAUAUACCAAACUGGUGUGAAAAUUUCUGUGUGAAGCUACUCUCUAGCAGGUGAAGUAUAGGUUCACUCAGUACUCAG
rnacentral:lncRNA from 1 species